UCCUAACUCCCUGAAAGCAUG
rnacentral:piRNA from 1 species